rnacentral:rRNA from 1 species
UACCCACCAGCUAGCCCCAACCACAAACCAAUAUCGCAACCCUAUAACUAAAUUACAAAAAACUACAAUCAUUAAACAAACCAUUUUUCCCCCCAAGUACGGGAGACAGAAAGGGAUCCAGGAGCAACAGAUACAGUACCGCAAGGGAACGCUGAAAAAGAAAUGAAACAAUCCAAUGAAGUACUAAAAAGCAGAGAUACGAUCUCGUACCUUUUGCAUCAUGCUUUAGCUAGUUAGCCCGGGCAAAAAGCAUUUAAGUCCGACACCCCGAAACUAGGUGAGCUACUCCAAGACAGCCUAUUUAUAGGGCCAACCCGUCUCUGUGGCAAAAGAGUGGGAUGAGCUUUGAGUAGAGGUGAUAGACCUACCGAACCUAGUUAUAGCUGGUUGCCUGAGAAACGAAUAAAAGUUCAGCUUCUUAGCUUCUUUACUCAACACAGUUACUACACCACUAUGACAAACAAGAAACCAAGAAAGUUAGUCAAAGGGGGUACAGCCCCUUUGAAUUAGGAUACAACCUUUAUAGAUGGGUAACGACCAUAAUAAACUUAGGCAAGAUAUUCUAGUGGGCUUAAAAGCAGCCACCAAAAUAGAAAGCGUUAAAGCUCAAAUACUUUUCUUCCCUUUUAUUCUGAUAAAACAAUCCUAACCCUCUCACCACUAUUAGGCCGCCCCAUAAAAAUGGGAAUGACCAUGCUAAUAUGAGUAAUAAGAGACAACAGACUCUCUCCACGCACAAGUGUAAACCGGAACAGACUAACUACCGAACAUUACCCGAACCCAAACAAAGAGGGCAUUAGACCACAAACAAAAAACAAGAAAAACCCCUAACAUAUUUACCGUUAAACCUACACCGGAGUGCUAACCAGGAAAGACUAACAGAAAAAGAAGGAACUCGGCAAACACAACACGCCUCGCCUGUUUACCAAAAACAUCGCCUCUUGCAAGUAAAGAAUAAGAGGUCCCGCCUGCCCUGUGACAGACACUGUUUAACGGCCGCGGUAUUUUGACCGUGCAAAGGUAGCGCAAUCACUUGUCUUUUAAAUGAAGACCUGUAUGAAUGGCAUAACGAGGGCUAAGCUGUCUCCUUUUUUAAGUCAAUGAAAUUGAUCCCCCCGUGCAGAAGCGGGGAUAAAAACAUAAGACGAGAAGACCCUAUGGAGCUUAAGACAUUAAACAGCUUAAAGUAAAACUUCCCAUAAAAGAAACAAACCAAAAAAUGACCUGUUGUAUUGUCUUUGGUUGGGGCGACCGCGGGGAAACAAAAAACCCCCAUGUGGACUGGGACAACAUUCCUACAGUCAAGAGCUACAGCUCUAAAAAACAGAACUUCUGACCUUUAAGAUCCGGCGCAUUGGCCGAUCAACGGACCGAGUUACCCUAGGGAUAACAGCGCAAUCCCCUUUUAGAGCCCAUAUCGACAAGGGGGUUUACGACCUCGAUGUUGGAUCAGGACAUCCUAAUGGUGCAGCCGCUAUUAAGGGUUCGUUUGUUCAACGAUUAAAGUCCU